ACCUACGGGACGCAGCAGUGGGGAAUAUUGCACAAUGGGGGAAACCCUGAUGCAGCGACGCCGCGUGAAGGAAGAAGUAUUUCGGUAUGUAAACUUCUAUCAGCAGGGAAGAAAAUGACGGUACCUGACUAAGAAGCCCCGGCUAACUACGCGCCAGCAGCCGCGGUAAUACGUAGGGGGCAAGCGUUAUCCGGAUUUACUGGGUGUAAAGGGAGCGUAGGCGGCGAUGCAAGUCAGAAGUGAAAGCCCGGGGCGCAACUCCGGGACUGCUUUUGAAACUGUGGUGCUAGAUUGCAGGGGAGGGA
rnacentral:rRNA from 1 species